rnacentral:lncRNA from 1 species
GGGGAGUUGCUGGAUUAUUGGUUACCCAAAGACUUUCAGCUGGCGGGGUAAAAGCACUCUGUAGACUGAAACCAACAGGAGAGAAAAAGGAGAUACAUGAGGUCCAUGGGACAGUGAGUGGGAAGAUAUCCUGCAAAUUUUGGACUCCAACCAAGCAUAGAGUGUGGCCUGCCUGUGGAAAUUAGGAAUGCUGACAGAGGGCCUGGGGCACUUGCAUGGCGUACCAAGAGCUCCAGAGAGACACUUUGACAACCAGACUUUCACUGGGGUCUUGCCUCAGCUCUGCCGUGAGCUGGCUCUGUGACCUUCAGCAAACCACGGUCCCUCUCUGGGCCCCAGGUUUCUGAUGUAAAAGACCAAGAGGGUUAGAUCAGAUGAUCUUGGAAAGCUUGCCAAGCCCCAAGUUUCUAGGAUUUCCUGACUACCAAUGUGUCCACGGUCAGCUUCUAGUGCCAAGUCUUACCUAUUCUUUUCUCACCAAAGUGGCUGGAGGCAAAAAAAGAAAAAAUUCCAAUCAUUAGCAUUGACUAGAGGAAAACAAUUGGAAGUAAGAAUGCUUUUCUCUUAAAUAUUCUCCUGCUCAUAGGGAAAAAGCUGAAGGAAAGUCAUAGUGGAAUUCAAAUCACAUGGCAGCAUUUAUCACGAUGAGUUCCACAGGAGGAAGCCAAGGCUGGUGAUAACCCACCAUUUCAGAGCAUCUAUUGAUCUGCAAGCACAGUGAUAGUUGCUUUUCCAUAUUUUAUUUCAUUUAAAUUAUACAGCACUCAUCAGAGGAGAUAUUACU